GUGCAAGAUGUAAUGAAUCGUCGUGUUCCAUCUGUAAAUCUGAUUGGUAUGGUACAAACUGCGGUUCACCAUGUUCCAUUAAUUGUAAUGGAGGAUGUGAUAUUGUUGAUGGCAGAUGUAAUAGAUGUAAAUCUCACGCUGUUGGGUUGUUCUGUAAUAUAGAAUGUGGAACUGAAUGCCAAUUAGCUACAGGUGGAUUAACAGAAUGUGAACAAGACGAAGCUUGUACCAAAAACUGUAGUGAAUCAACUGUAGAUGAGUCAUCGAACAUGGUGAAGUUAAGUUGCUUAUAUCGAUGUAUUGGGGGUAAGAAAGAAGCAGUUUGUUCAAAGGAAUAUGAGGCGCCAAUUGAUGGUACCGACAACACAGUUAUAAUAUCUGUUGUGAUGGUAAUAUUGGUUUUAGUCAUAGCUGCUAUUUCUACUUUUUUGGUAUUCAGAUACAGAAGCAGGAGACGCAAUGCUAAUGCUCAACAAAACUCCAAAGUUUCUUAUGUUACACCAACGAAUAUUGAUGAUAUACCAGCCUCUGCUGACACAACACAGAUUUCCAUAGGUUUUAGAUUAUAUAUUUAAAUUUUUGUUUUCAAUAAUUACAAAAUGUGAACAUUAUUUCGGCCAGAAACUCUUUCCAAUAAGAUUUCCGGUAUCGCUUUGGUUAGGCUUAAGAAUCUGUCCACCAGCAUGAUAGACGUGAUCAUCCAGGUUAAAGAUCCAGUAAUGCUUAGUUCUAGACAAAAUUGGCGGAGAGGUUUUGUAAUCACUCUUAUUAAAUUACAAACCAAUAGUA